AUUGAACGCUGGCGGAAUGCUUUACACAUGCAAGUCGAGCGGCAGCGCGGGGGCAACCCUGGCGGCGAGCGGCGAACGGGUGAGUAACAUAUCGGAACGUACCCCGUCGUGGGGGAUAACACAGCGAAAGCUGUGCUAAUACCGCAUACGACCUACGGGUGAAAGCAGGGGAUCGCAAGACCUUGCGCUAUUGGAGCGGCCGAUGUCAGAUUAGGUAGUUGGUGGGGUAAAAGCCUACCAAGCCGACGAUCUGUAGCUGGUCUGAGAGGACGACCAGCCACACUGGGACUGAGACACGGCCCAGACUCCUACGGGAGGCAGCAGUGGGGAAUUUUGGACAAUGGGGGCAACCCUGAUCCAGCCAUGCCGCGUGAGUGAAGAAGGCUUUCGGGUGUAAAGCUCUUUCGGCCGGGAAGAAAUCGCAUGGGUUAAUACCCUGUGCGGAUGACGGUACCGGCAUAAGAAGCACCGGCUAACUACGUGCCAGCAGCCGCGGUAA
rnacentral:rRNA from 1 species